rnacentral:lncRNA from 1 species
AUUUAAUGUUAAAUGUUUGGCAAACCAUAGCAAACUUUUUAAAAUCAUGUUCUUUAUUCUACUCUGCAGAAAUGGAUCAGUCAUCAAUAUCAUGCAAUCUGAGUUUUCAAAGGGGAAUAACACUCCUACUAGCGCUGAAGUAGAGGAGGUUUUAGUGACUGCUUCUCAAAAUGUCACUGGCUUUGACAUUGAAACGAGCUCCAUCAUUGUCAAUUCCAUCCUUACUGUGGAAUCAACGAUACCUUCAACAACGACACUAUUAAGUACCUCUGCUGCUACCAUGACAUCAAUUAUUCCUACAACAACGUCACAAGAAAUUUUAUCAACAAAUCCACUUGAAACAUCAAGUCCAACAUCAUCAAUUACUUCUGAAGAAUCCAUAACAACUACAUCAAAUCCUUCACUGAGCACAACUCUAGCAACAUUUACAACAUCUGGUCAAGCUCCAAGUAAAGCAGAAACUACAACAGGAGCAGAAGAAACUUUGACAUCUCUUUUGACAGCAACCACAUCAAAAACCACACCAAUUACUUUAACUAACCCAACAGCGGAAACUACAACAUUUGAAAGAACAACACCAUUUAGUUCAACAUUUGUUGGACAGACCACAACAGCUCCAUUGACUGCAACAACUCCUCAAACAACAGCCAGAGUUUCUGAACCAACAGAUACAACAUCGUCCACUCUUGAUCUAACAGCUGAGACAACAUCUGUGAUAACAACUGAUGCUUUAACCACUACUGCGUCUUUGACAUUACCUCCUCAAACAAACAACAGGAAGACCUUCAACAAUUGCUUCAACAACUGCACUACUAAGUACACCUGCUGCUACCAUGACGUCAGCAAAAAAUCCUACAACAACGCCACAAGAAACUUUAUCAACAAAUCCAGUUGAAACAUUAGGUCCAACAACAUCUUUGUUAUCAACAUCAUCAAUUACUUUUGAAGAAUCCAUAACAACUAC